rnacentral:rRNA from 1 species
AGUGAACGCUGGCGGUAGGCCUAACACAUGCAAGUCGAACGGCAGCACAGUAAGAGCUUGCUCUUACGGGUGGCGAGUGGCGGACGGGUGAGGAAUACAUCGGAAUCUACUUUUUCGUGGGGGAUAACGUAGGGAAACUUACGCUAAUACCGCAUACGACCUACGGGUGAAAGCGGGGGAUCUUCGGACCUUGCGCGAUUGCAUGAGCCGAUGUCGGAUUAGCUAGUUGGCGGGGUAAAGGCCCACCAAGGCGACGAUCCGUAGCUGGUCUGAGAGGAUGAUCAGCAACACUGGAACUGAGACACGGUCCAGACUCCUAAGGGAGGCAGCAGUGGGGAAUAUUGGACAAUGGGCGCAAGCCUGAACCAGCAAUACCGCGUGGGUGAAGAAGGCCUUCGGGUUGUAAAGCCCUUUUGUUGGGAAAGAAAAGCAGCAGGUUAAUACCCCGCUGUUCUGACGGUACCCAAAGAAUAAGCACCGGCUAACUUCGUG